CAGCAGUAGCCGCGGUAACACGGAGGGGGCUAGCGUUGUUCGGAAUUACUGGGCGUAAAGCGCACGUAGGCGGCUUGGUAAGUUAGAGGUGAAAGCCUGGAGCUCAACUCCAGAAUUGCCUUUAAGACUGCCGAGCUAGCAGGUGAGAGAGGUAAGUGGAAUUCCGAGUGUAGAGGUGAAAUUCGUAGAUAUUCGGAAGAACACCAGUGGCGAAGGCGGCUUACUGGCUCAUACUGGACGCUGAGGUGCGAAAGCGUGGGGAGCAAACAGGAUUAGAUACCCGCGUAGUCCCUGUCUCUUAUAC
rnacentral:rRNA from 1 species